ensembl:lncRNA
ACCAAGACACACAACAGACCUAACAAAACAGGAGGAUGAUCCUCCCUACAUGUUUUGCAUUGGUGUUGAAGUGAGUGAGACCACAAAUGUGAAUCAAAUAAGUCUUUGAUUGUAGUACACAUAAAAGCGAAUGGUGCCAGGUUUUCCAAGUUAGUAGGACUGGACUUUACAAACUCAGGCUGCCUCCCGCCGCUGCAGCUGGCAAACACGAGUGCCGCCAGUUCCGGCAAGGUCUCUUGGAAACUAGGCAGCCUUGACAGUUCUCUAAUGAUCGGCAACAUUUCCAUCACCCCCAGAAGAUAUGAUUGGCUGAACAUGACAUUGACAGACUUGGGGACUGAAGCCACAAGGAGGAAACUGCAUAAUGACUGAACUCAGAACAUUUAAGAACAAGAGGCUGAACACCCUAUCCUGUAUCACUGAGGACCAAGCUGUUUGAAAGGCCAUUGUCUCUCCAGUAAGCCUGUCUGGGCUUUAAGAUCUUUGAGUGAAAUAAACAAACCAAUAAAUAAAUAAUACUUUAUUUGUAUUCUGCUUUAUCUUCCCGAGGGCACUCAGGGUGGAUUCCAGCAAACACAGACACAAGGCAAACAUUCAAUGCCUAGAAACAACAAACACAGAUAAAAGGCAAAAGUUUCAUUUCCCCUUCCAGCUCUGGGGAGUGGUGCUCAUCUUCGGCUCUGGGGGGUGGUGUUCAUCUCAAUUUCUAAGCUGAAGAGCCUGCAUUGUCCAUAGACACC